CUGAUAGAAGGCAUCUGUGUAUACUGUGGAACAUUAUUGAAGCAGCAAAGAGCAAUAUUAUACAUAUUUAAGACCAAUUUGAAUACUUUGUGGUAGUACUUGAACCGCAGGAGCAAGUCUUUCGCAAUCGCAGUUUGGCACAGAACCAUAUUCAAGAACGAGUUUCCACCUUGUUUCAGUCCUUUCGAGCGCCUUGUAUGAACACACUCCUGCUGUCAGAUUCUUAUUGCUUAAUAACCCAAUUGGCAAUACAUGUGGUGGCAUUUUUUUAUUGUGAUAUUUCAUCUGUAGGUAAUAAUAAACUUCCAAAACAGUUUUUUCAGAGUUCUAUCCAAUUAUGCCCAAAGUGGAAUAUAUUUUCAUUGGAGAUCUCAAAGUUGACUCCCUGUGCCCCUACUUCCAGUGGGCCCACAAUUUUUAUUGUGACCAGAAUAUAUUUGGGGAAUCAAAUGGUUGUCAAAUUUUUCUCCCUACUUCCUAUCUCAUUGCAUUUCUGAGAAGAAUGGGUGAUAUGGGUGGUAAGACAUACCUAUGUAUAUAUGAUCUGGUCAAUCUCUAAACACCAAAUUUUGCAGAUUUUACAAUUUGGAGAAUGCUUAACUAAACUGUAAAGAAAAUUAAAAUAUGCAAACAAUGUCUUAGAUGGUAACCAUUCAAAAUUUUAAAUGAAUGUAUUAAUAAUAAUUGUUUUUGCUUUUAUUGCUACAUGUGGCAAAACUUGCAGUUGCAUGCUGUCCAUUAUGCCCUAUAUUGUGGUCCUCAUUGCAUAUUAUUAAUAAUAAUAUUAUUAUUAUUAUUAUUAUUAUUAUUA
rnacentral:lncRNA from 1 species